CCCAACCACGCCCCGUGCGCGAUGAGGAGGGCGGCGGGCCGCGGCGUGCUCGCCCGGAGUGCUGUCCUACGCAAAUCAGAGUAUGGUUGUUGUAUGGAGUUAUUUUAAUAGUCCUUCCUGGUCAGUCCCUUGUUUUGGUCUGCUGUAACGUAUUACUGCUAUUCUCACAGAAUCACCAAGGUUGGAAAAGACCUUCUUGAUCAGCCAGUCCAACCAUCCACCCUGCACCGAUAGUUCUCACUAAGCCACGUCCCUCAACACAGAACCAACCCUUCCUUCAACACCUCCAGGGUCGGUGACUCCACCACCUCCCCGGGCAGCCCAUUCCAGUGCCUGACCACUCUUUCAGAAAAGCAGUAUUUCCUAACGCCCCCAUUUUGUUGGGUAUUUUUUAACCCCGUCAUAAGAUGCUGGGUGUACAACGAGUGGCCUCAAAGUACUGCAUCUGCUGGGAGAAACUUUUGGAGCUGAGGACCCUGCAUCCCAUGCAGGCUCAUUCCAGGGGUCCUAUCUCAGACUAGCUCAAAUCUCAUUCUGCAGACCACAUGCCACAUUGGAGUUCAGACUGUAUGAGAAAGUCGCCAGUGAAACAUCUGGAGGGGUCAAAAUGUAGUGACAGUCAAAUUAUCAAAAGGAGUUUAAAGUGGCACACUGUGAGCUUGUGAUGGGGAAGCUUUCAUUACAGUUUUCACUAUAGACAGAAACAACUUGUCCUUGGCAGCUUUCUGGACACACGGGGUAGGAGCAAUUAAUACCCGCAGAACAGGGCCACCAUUAAAAUGAACCCUAAUAGGUCCUCGAUGGCCAGCAGGAGCCUCCAGAAGGUCAACGAAAGUAAAAGCUAAAUUCUUCCCCAGCACACAGCUGAGCCUGACAGGGCAGCAGCUCUGCAGGCAGUGCCUCCAGCCUGAGCCCAAUGAGUCUUGCCUGCUAGAAUAUACCUUGGAACAGAAGCAAAAAAGGAAAUCAUAGAAAUGCUUGAAAAUUACACAAAGCUUGUCCCAGUUUUGGAAAUAGGACAUCUGUAAUAUGCUUAUAUUUCUUCAAGGAUAUGCAUUGGUGGAACAUUUUGUGCAGAGAAACAACUAAUAUUUACUAAUCAUAUGUUGAUGUGCAGCACCACUGUAGAGUUUAUGCAUGUUUGCACAGAAGCAGAAGAGAUUGCGCACAGUAUUUUAGAACAACAUAGUUAGAAGAUCCUUCAGGAAUUAACUCAGCUCAC
rnacentral:lncRNA from 1 species